UACAGAGGGGGCAAGCGUUGUUCGGAAUUACUGGGCGUAAAGGGCGCGUAGGCGGCCUUCUAAGUCGAACGUGAAAUCCCCGGGCUCAACCCGGGAACUGCGUCCGAUACUGGAAGGCUUGAGUCCGGGAGAGGGAUGCGGAAUUCCAGGUGUAGCGGUGAAAUGCGUAGAUAUCUGGAGGAACACCGGUGGCGAAGGCGGCAUCCUGGACCGGUAUUGACGCUGAGGCGCGAAAGCCAGGGGAGCAAACGGG
rnacentral:rRNA from 1 species